rnacentral:rRNA from 1 species
GAUGAACGCUAGCGGCAGGCCUAAUACAUGCAAGUCGAACGGGAUUAAGAGGCUUGCUUCUUAUGAGAGUGGCGCACGGGUGCGUAACACGUAUGCAACCUACCUUCAACUGGGGGAUAGCCUUCCGAAAGGGAGAUUAAUACCGCAUAAAAUAAUUGAGUGGCAUCACUUGAUUAUCAAACGUCAGGGUUGAAGAUGGGCAUGCGUCCGAUUAGUUUGUUGGUGAGGUAACGGCUCACCAAGACUACGAUCGGUAGGGGAUCUGAGAGGAUGGCCCCCCACACUGGUACUGAGACACGGACCAGACUCCUACGGGAGGCAGCAGCAAGGAAUAUUGGUCAAUGGACGGAAGUCUGAACCAGCCAUGCCGCGUGCAGGAAGACGGUCCUCUGGAUUGUAAACUGCUUUUGUUAGGGAAGAAACUUCCGUACGUGUACGGGACUGACGGUACCUAAAGAAUAAGGAUCGGCUAACUCCGUGCCAGCCGCCGCCGUAAUAC